GACGAACGCUGGCGGCGUGCUUAACACAUGCAAGUCGAACGAUGAAACCUAGCUUGCUAGGUCGAUUAGUGGCGAACGGGUGAGUAACACGUGACUAACCUGCCCCUUUCUCUGGGAUAACGCUCCGAAAGGAGUGCUAAUACCGGAUACUCACACCUAGGCACAUGCCUUGGGGUGGAAAGUUUUUAGGAAAGGGAUGGAGUGGCGGCCUAUGAGCUUGUUGGGGAGGUAACGGCUCACCAAGGCGACGACGGGUAGCCGGCCUGAGAGGGCGACCGGCCACACUGGGACUGAGACACGGCCCAGACUCCUACGGGAGGCAGCAGUGGGGAAUAUUGCACAAUGGGCGCAAGCCUGAUGCAGCGACGCCGCGUGAGGGAUGAAGGUCUUCGGAUUGUAAACCUCUUUCAGUAGGGACGUAGCGAAAGUGACGGUACCUAAAGAAGAAGCACCGGCUAACUACGUGCCAGCAGCCGCCGUAA
rnacentral:rRNA from 1 species